rnacentral:rRNA from 1 species
UACAGAGGGUGCGAGCGUUAAUCGGAAUUACUGGGCGUAAAGGGCGCGUAGGCGGUGUAUUAAGUUAGAUGUGAAAUCCCUGGGCUUAACCUAGGAACUGCAUCUGAUACUGACACGCUAGAGUGCGGUAGAGGAUAGUGGAAUUUCCGGUGUAGCGGUGAAAUGCGUAGAUAUCGGAAGGAACACCAGUGGCGAAGGCGGCUAUCUGGACUGACACUGACGCUGAGACGCGAAAGCGUGGGUAGCAAACAGG